rnacentral:piRNA from 1 species
UGCGCGAGAUCUGUGGGUGUACAUAAA